GGCUGCGUGUCAAGUCUAUGGACUCGACUCUUGCACAUCUACGUCUUAGGUUUGCGCCAAUUCGUGGUAAGCUUGGGUCAUAGAGACUCAUAGGUGUUAUAAAGACUCGCUGGUGUUUGUCUCCUUGAGGCAUACGGCUUUAACCAAAACUCUCAAAGUUUGACCUCAAAUCAGGUAGGAGUACCCGCUGAACUUAAGCAUAUCAAUAAGCGGAGGAAAAGAAACCAACCGGGAUUGCCUUAGUAACGGCGAGUGAAGCGGCAAAAGCUCAAAUUUGAAAUCUGGCGUCUUCGACGUCCGAGUUGUAAUUUGAAGAAGGCGACUUUGUAGCUGGUCCUUGUCUAUGUUCCUUGGAACAGGACGUCAUAGAGGGUGAGAAUCCCGUGUGGCGAGGAUCCCAGUUAUUUGUAAAGUGCUUUCGACGAGUCGAGUUGUUUGGGAAUGCAGCUCUAAGUGGGUGGUAAAUUCCAUCUAAAGCUAAAUAUUGGCGAGAGACCGAUAGCGAACAAGUACAGUGAUGGAAAGAUGAAAAGAACUUUGAAAAGAGAGUGAAAAAGUACGUGAAAUUGUUGAAAGGGAAGGGCAUUUGAUCAGACAUGGCGUUUGCUUCGGCUUUCGCUGGGCCAGCAUCAGUUUUAGCGGUUGGAUAAAUCCUCGGGAAUGUGGCUCUGCUUCGGUAGAGUGUUAUAGCCCGUGGGAAUACAGCCAGCUGGGACUGAGGAUUGCGACUUUUGUCAAGGAUGCUGGCGUAAUGGUUAAU
rnacentral:rRNA from 1 species